rnacentral:rRNA from 1 species
UACAGAGGGGGCAAGCGUUGUUCGGAAUUACUGGGCGUAAAGGGCGCGUAGGCGGCCCGCUAAGUCGAACGUGAAAUCCCCGAGCUCAACUCGGGAACUGCGUCUGAUACUGGCGGGCUUGAAUCCGGGAGAGGGAUGCGGAAUUCCAGGUGUAGCGGUGAAAUGCGUAGAUAUCUGGAGGAACACCGGCGGCGAAGGCGGCAUCCUGGACCGGCAUUGACGCUGAGGCGCGAAAGCUAGGGGAGCAAACGGG